ensembl:miRNA Mir7006 microRNA 7006
CCAUGUGGGGGUGUUCAAGACUUGGGAACCUGGCUGAUUUCUUACCUGGUUUCUGACCUGGAUCCCCAG